UCCUCACUUGUUUCUUCCUUACAUGCUGUGGUAGCUGCUGCAGAUGUUCCAGCAUCUUCGCUUCCUUUUUGUGCCCAAGCUGGAGCAAAAGCCACUGUUUUGUUGCCAUUGUUCCUGUUCUUGUCAUACAGACCAUCUUCAAAGGAACCAUAG
rnacentral:rRNA from 1 species